AUAACUGAUUGGAUUUGUAAAACGUGUUUUUGUUGUUGUCGAUUUAACAUUUGAUUCACGUUUGUUGACAACUCAACCAAAUGUAGGCUAAACCAAACUAAACAUUGAACUGACACCUGUGCCCAAUGGCUACCAACUGUAGGAGUAGUGGUGCAAUUAGGCAUAAUGGCCAUCACUGCAGUGCUCUAAAAACGUGAAAAUAAAAGUAUGCCUUGAUUAAAAUUCAGUCCUAUUACACGCCUACAUGCUUAAGCGCUUUGAAUAGGCCUUCAUACCCUAAUAGUGCCAUGCAAAUUAGCUGACUCAUUAGCGUAAUGUAGGUGAGGACAUGGGACAGGAGGUAACAGCCAUAUUAUGAUAGGCCCACCUCUGCAUUCCAAACGCUUAAAAGACCCCGCAGCCCUCAAAUUAAGUGAACACUUCUGAUGACGUGUCAUGACGUCUGACGAGAAUACAGUACACUUGCAGGGCGAGGGAGGAAGGAAGUAAAUAUUGUGAAAUGGACCGCCCUUGCAUGUACAUUCAGCCACAGGCCCGAAGUUAGGCUGAGGAGCUUCCAUUGCGAACUUCCCUUGUUUGGCUAAUCGAUUGGACCGAUGUCCAAGAUGGUGACAGGGAUUCCCCCAAGGACAUAAGGCGAGGACUAGACACUGUGUGGCGUAUUGCUGUGACAAUACAGAGGCGGAUGCAUGAUGCAAGCAACGAUGGUUUAAUGAAUACAGUUUACAACAGCAACAGGACAGACAGACUGUACUCAGACGGAAUCCGACCCAGGGACUAGGGC